GAUAAACGCUGGCGGCGUGCCUAAUGCAUGCAAGUCGAACGGGAGCUCACAUUCCCACCGUCUUCGGAUGGUGGCGUGGGUGGACCGUGGCGGACGGGUGAGGAACGCGUGGCCAACCUG
rnacentral:rRNA from 1 species